rnacentral:rRNA from 1 species
UACGGGGGGGCAAGCGUUGUUCGGAAUUACUGGGCGUAAAGGGCUCGUAGGUUGCCAACUAAGUCGGACGUGAAAUCCCUCAGCUUAACUGGGGAACUGCGUCCGAUACUGGAUGGCUUGAGUUUGGGAGAGGGAUGCGGAAUUCCAGGUGUAGCGGUGAAAUGCGUAGAUAUCUGGAGGAACACCGGUGGCGAAGGCGGCACC